rnacentral:rRNA from 1 species
UACGUAGGGUGCAAGCGUUGUCCGGAAUUAUUGGGCGUAAAGAGCUCGUAGGCGGCCUGUCACGUCGGCUGUGAAAACCCGGGGCUCAACCCCGGGCCUGCAGUCGAUACGGGCAGGCUAGAGUCCGGCAGGGGAGACUGGAAUUCCUGGUGUAGCGGUGAAAUGCGCAGAUAUCAGGAGGAACACCGGUGGCGAAGGCGGGUCUCUGGGCAACAACUGACGCUGAGGAGCGAAAGCGUGGGGAGCGAACAGG